UACGAAGGGGACUAGCGUUGCUCGGAAUCACUGGGCGUAAAGGGUGCGUAGGCGGGUCUUUAAGUCAGGGGUGAAAUCCUGGAGCUCAACUCCAGAACUGCCUUUGAUACUGAAGAUCUUGAGUUCGGGAGAGGUGAGUGGAACUGCGAGUGUAGAGGUGAAAUUCGUAGAUAUUCGCAAGAACACCAGUGGCGAAGGCGGCUCACUGGCCCGAUACUGACGCUGAGGCACGAAAACGUGGGGAGCAAACAGG
rnacentral:rRNA from 1 species